UAUAAUUUUAAUAUAUUUAAUUCAUAAAUAUAAAUUAUAAUAAUAAUAUAUAUAGCCUAAUAAUUAACAUAAAUUAUAAAUAAAUAAUAUAUAGAAUACAUAAUAAUAAUAAUAAAAAAAUAUACUUUUUUCUUUCAACCAUUCAACCAAACAACUAUAACUGAAAACUAGUUUUCUUUUCCUACGAACCAAACACCAAACUGCGUAAAACUUUUUUUCCACCGAAAAUUUUUUUCCACGGAAAACUUUUUUUCCCAGUUUUACAUCAAACCAAACAGCCCCUUAUGUAAUUUCACUUUUUUUUAUUGUAGUAUUCUGUAGUUUAAAAUAUAUCAAUUUAGUACCAUAUAGUUUUAUUUUUAUCUUUUUAUUAUCAAUUCUACUAAUUUUUUUCGUUAAAUAGUGACAAAGUUAAACUAAAGGGUAUUGAAGUAAAUAUUCGAUAAACCUAGAUGGGGUAUUUGAAGUUUUUGUAUAUAAUUUAAUGAAAUAUUAACAAAAAAGUUGACGAAAAGAUAAAAAUGAGACCAGAGGACACUAACUUGAUACACUUUAAAUCAUAGGGUACGAAAAUGAAAAAGGACGAAACCACAAGGGUAGCAUUUGAAGUUUACCCUAUAUUAAGGUGUCACGCCCCGGGGUCCCUUUUAAUUUAAAACAUAGCGGAAAAGCGUCUGAAUUUUAUUUUUUUUGAAAAUCUGACCCCAGAGUAUGUCAGAUCCGCCACAAACACAGGAAAUCCACUGUGCACACGGACAAAGUCUCCCCUGUAUUUACACGGCGUCGCACAAGUACAAGAAGCAAUCCAGGUACAACCACAACCAAAUGAACAUACAAGUAACCAACAAUUAUAUAUUCAUACACCAUUCACAUCACAGGUUCACAUUUAUAUAUUCAAUAUUUAAACAUAAAUCCACAUCUAUCAGUUAAAAUAUUUCCAACUCAGAAACAGGUUUUGAAAUACUAAGAUACAAAAUCCACAGAAAAUCUUUUGAAAACUAUUCCCUACACGGGAACUUUUCUUUUUUAAAAACGCUACCACGAGGGGUAGAAAACCUUUUAUUUACAAAAAUUCAGGAAUCUUCUUCUCAUUCGAAAAACCAACUGAAGUCUUGAAUAUUUCAACAUAAUGAAAUACUGAAUCAUAUAAACCGACUAAGCUAUAUAUCAACAGAAAUAAUAAGGGUAAAAGCUAAGCCGAAUAACCUGGGUCAGAAGAUCUAUCGACCGCUACGUACAUGUCUCACGUCUCGUCUCAACCCUCACCGCCCGCGAUACCUGAAAAAUAGUGGGGGAGGUGAGAACAUGUAAACAUGUCUCCCCUCCCAGUGGGUACCGCAAAUCGAAGAAGGCGAGGAGUACUCACCGGAUCAGGAAGAGGUAAAUAACAACAAGGGUCAGUGGAAAUAUAGUAGCAACAAUAAUAAGGCAAUAAGCAGAUAUACCGAAUACAGUAGCAAUAAACUGAAAGAAAGUAAGAACUAGACUGAAUA
rnacentral:lncRNA from 1 species